rnacentral:lncRNA from 1 species
GUUUGCUGUUUGGUGUUUGGUGUUCGGUGUUCGGUGUUUGGUGUUUGCUGUUCGGUGUUUGGUGUUUGGUGUUCGGUGUUCGGUGUUCGGUGUUCGGUGUUUGCUGUUUGCUGUUCGGUGUUUGGUGUUCGGUGUUCGGUGUUUGCUGUUUGGUGUUUGGUGUUUGCUGUUUGGUGUUUGCUGUUUGCUGUUCGGUGUUCGGUGUUCUGUGUUUGCUGUUUGGUGUUCUGUGUUUGCUGUUUGCUGUUCGGUGUUUGCUGUUUGGUGUUCGGUGUUCGGUGUUUGCUGUUUGGUGUUCGCUGUUUGGUGUUUGGUGUUUGCUGUUUGCUGUUUGCUGUUUGGUGUUUGCUGUUUGCUGUUUGCUGUUUGCUGUUUGGUGUUCUGUGUUUGCUGUUUGGUGUUUGCUGUUUGGUGUUGGUGGGACCUGCUGGAGGUCCCCCGUGGUGUGGCAUCCCCAGAGGCCCGGAGCAAUGUGUGCUGUGCCACACGCUGCCGGUACCUCAGGCACAUCCUGGGGGUCCCGUGGGGAGGGCACCUGUGGGUGCCACCGGAGCCUCGGGGAGCUCUUUUCGGGCGCUCAGUGGGGAUGGAUGGACGGGAGUGAAACCUGAGCGUUUUUCAGGCGGCUGUGCCUGUGCUCAGCCUCAGUUCCUGCCUUGUCUGGAGAAGGGGGCUCUGAGCAGGGCCGAGCUCCUGCCAGCAGCCCCAGGCUGGGGGUCCCUCGGGGGGCACUGCAGGGCUGGACUGGGACAGCGAGGAGGGCUGAGCAGAUCCCUGCUGUGGGAUGAGCCCUGGCAGAGCAGUUUCUGCACCAGAGCCAUCUCCCAGGAGCUUCUCCAGCAUCUGCAGGGGAUGCAGCAGGGAGGGCUCUCACUGGUGUGGCAGUGCACCCCAAAGAGCCUUGUGACUGCAGAAACCAUCAGAAACUUCCCAAAAUGUGCGGCUGGACGCUCAGCUGUUGGUGGAAGGGCAGAGGACAGGAUGUCACCUCUAAUGUCACUUGAGUGCGAGGCGGUGGCGGGCAGGCUGCGGUGGGAGGUGUGGCGCUGCUGGGGGACCCUCCCUGGGCUCAGGGCUGCCCGUCUCCUCUCACCUGAACACUGCAGGAUGAAAAGAGACGUCUCAGCUAAUUCCUGCUUCAAAAGGGAUAUGAAAUGA